UACGUAGGGGGCAAGCGUUAUCCGGAUUUACUGGGUGUAAAGGGAGCGUAGACGGUGCGCCAAGUCUGGAGUGAAAUGCCGCAGCUUAACUGCGGAACUGCUUUGGAAACUGGCGAACUAGAGUGCGGGAGGGGUAAGCGGAAUUCCUAGUGUAGCGGUGAAAUGCGUAGAUAUACGGAGGAACACCAGUGGCGAAGGCGGCCUGCUGGACAAUAACUGACGCUGAGGCGCGAAAGCGUGGGGAGCAAACAGG
rnacentral:rRNA from 1 species